AGGUCUCAUGGGAGGAGGCCGAAUUGCCCGCAUGCACCCUCCGCCGCCCACUU
rnacentral:ribozyme from 1 species